CCUGGUGGCGUGCAGUCUCUCAGUGCUGCUUCCAGUCCUGGGUGGCCCUCAGCCGCUAUGGCCAUUGGAUGACAAUGACAAUGUCCCCAUCAGCAAGUGUCCGGUGUCUAUCAGGGAGCAGUCCUAGAACAGCCAGGAGUGUGAAAGAGUCGGAUCAUCCAGACCCUAAACCAUGUACGGGGCAGGCACUUGGCGCAGUGGACAAGUUGCUGUUAAGAAGCCACUUCCUCUAUCAGAGUGGCUGGUCUGGUCCUGGCCCCUCUGGUUCUCACCGAGCUUCCUGCUAGUGUGCGUCCUGGGAGGCAGCAGCUGUCUUUGGGUCCUCGUGGGACACCCAGAUGGAGUUCUAAGCUCCUGGCUUUGGCCUGGCUCAGCCUUGGCUACUGCAGGCACUUGGGGGAUGGAACCAGUAGAUGGAAAAGAUUCU